GAAAGAAGAGGGCUAGAAUGGUGCUUUGCUACCAUACUUGCACGUAUCCUUCCUUUUUUUUCUUCUUUUUUUCUUCCAUUUUUCCCCCUUUUCUUUC
rnacentral:ribozyme from 1 species